AUUGAACGCUGGCGGCAGGCCUAACCCAUGCAAGUCGAACGAGUGGCGGACGGGUGAGUAAUGUCUGGGAAACUGCCUGAUGGAGGGGGAUAACUACUGGAAACGGUAGCUAAUACCGCAUACCAUCGGAUGUGCCCAGAUGGGAUUAGCUUGGUGGUGGGGUAAAGGCUCACCAAGGCGACGAUCCCUAGCUGGUCUGCGAGGAUGACCAGCCAAACUGGAGCUGAGACACGGUCGAUAGUCCAGCGGGACGCAGAAGGGGGGAAUAGUGCAAAAUGGGCGCAUGUCGUAUGCAUCCAUGGAGCGUGUAUGACGAAGGCCUUCGGGUUGUAAAGUACUUGCAGCGGGGAGGCGUUACCCGCAGAAGAAGCACCGGCUAACUCCGUGCCAGCAGCCGCGGUAAUUC
rnacentral:rRNA from 1 species